UGGAUUUUUGGAUUGAAUGUAUUUACUAUUUGAAUGUAUCUUUUUUUUUCAUUUUUUAACAUUUGUGCUGUUCAUUUUUUCUCAAAUAAUAUAAACUAUCUUUUUUUUUCAUUUC
rnacentral:ribozyme from 1 species